UGAGGAACAUGACCUUCGGCGGGGGAUAGCCGGCCCAACGGCCGGGUAAUACCGCGUACGACCACAUGGGGACAUCCCUGAGUGGUGAAAGCAGCAAUGCGCCGAUGGAGUGCCUCGCGGCCUAUCAGCUAGUUGGUGAGGUAACGGCUCACCAAGGCGACGACGGGUAGCUGGUCUGAGAGGAUGGCCAGCCACAUUGGGACUGAGACACAGCCCAGAUCCCGUAACGGGG
rnacentral:rRNA from 1 species